GACGAACGCUGGCGGCGUGCCUAAUACAUGCAAGUCGAACGCUUCUUUCCUCCCGAGUGCUUGCACUCUAUUGGAAAUAGGAGUUGCGGACGGGUGAGUAACACGUGGGUAACCUACCCAUCAGAGGGGGAUAACACUUGGAAACAGGUUCUAAUACCGCAUAACAGUUUAUGCCGCAUUGCAUAAGAGUGAAAGGCGCUUUCGGGUGUCGCUGAUGGAUGGACCCGCGGUGCAUUAGCUAGUUGGUGAGGUAACGGCUCACCAAGGCAACGAUGCAUAGCCGACAUGAGAGGGUGAUCGGCCACACUGGGACUGAGACACGGACCAGACUCCUACGGGAGGCAGCAGUAGGGAAUAUUCGGCAAUGGACGAAAGUAUGACCGAGCAACGCCGCGUGAGUGAAGAAGGUUUUCGGAUCGUAAAACUCUGUUGUUAGAGAAGAACAAGGACGUUAGUAACUGAACGUCCAAUGACGGUAUCUAAACAGAAAGCCACGGCUAACUACGUG
rnacentral:rRNA from 1 species